rnacentral:rRNA from 1 species
AUACGGAGGGUGCAAGCGUUAUCCGGAAUCAUUGGGUUUAAAGGGUCCGUAGGCGGACUAUUAAGUCAGAGGUGAAAUCCCACAGCUCAACUGUGGAACUGCCUUUGAUACUGGUAGUCUUGAGUUAUAUGGAAGUAGAUAGAAUGUGUAGUGUAGCAGUGAAAUGCAUAGAUAUUACACAGAAUACCGAUUGCGAAGGCAGUCUACUACGUAUAUACUGACGCUAAGGGACGAAAGCGUGGGGAGCGAACAGGAUUAGAAACCCUAGUAGUCC